UGCCAGCCGCCGCGGUAAGACGGAGGAUGCAAGUGUUAUCCGGAAUCACCGGGCUUAAAGAGUACGUAGGCGGCAUAGCAAGUGUUAGGUGAAAUCCCACGGCUUACCCGUGGAACUGCCUAGCAAACUGCUGAGCUAGAGUGUGGUAGGGGAGAACAGAACUCAUGGUGGAGCGGUGAAAUGCGUAGAUAUCAUGAGGAAUACCGGUGGCGAAGGCGGUUCUCUGGUCCACAACUGACGCUGAGGUACGAAAGCUGGGGUAGCGAACGGGAUUAGAUA
rnacentral:rRNA from 1 species